rnacentral:tRNA from 1 species
GCGCGAUUAGCUCAGCGGGAGAGCGCUUCCCUGACACGGAAGAGGUCACUGGUUCAAUCCCAGUAU